UGUCUAUGACAGCCCUGGAGACAGAGUUGCUGACCAGAAUCGGAAAGGAGGGUGCAGGCGGUGAACAUGCAGAGCCCCGUUCCUCGGUUUUUCCGUAGACACUGAGCACUCUGGGGGCUCUUGGCCCCCCAGCCCUCACUCCGGCCAAGGCGGUCUCUGGAGGCAGCCCUGAUGGGACCAGCGCAUCUCAUCAACCCAGAAUUCAGAACCCUGAACUUCACUUCACUUGCCUGUGUCUGUAAUCCCUACAGACACCUCCGGGGAAGAAGAACUUCCCUCGACCGCGGGGACUCGCCCAACCUGGGAACCUCUGGGGCCCGAGAGCCAAGAAAGACCCCCUUCCUUGCUCUUUUCCCGGGGAUGCAGAAGUCAGCGGACGUCCCAGGAAUCUGCAGCCUCUUCACCCCCGCACAACACAGGCACAGUCCUCGCUUUGCACCCCGCUGUGUUUCCCACGCCGAGGGCACAGUUGGCACCUUCUGGAUACUCGCACUGGGUACAGGUAUGAUGAGAUGUUCCACUGAGCAUGCUCCUAUAUGUUUGUGUACUGCCUCUCCAGUAGGAAGAAAGGCCUUGGCCCUCCCCCUAAAAUCUCUCUUCAUUCCUCCUGUACCUCCCACACACCAUGGCACAGCUGUCACCAGUGUGCCUGUUUGGGAAGAGAGACCUGCAGCUGCAGGCUUGGAGAAAGGUUUUUAAUUAAAACCACAAUCUGUUUAAGUAUUUAUUGGGCUCUGUGACUUUAAUUAUUUUCUAGGGAAAAACAGAAAAAUCCACAUUUGCAUAUGGGAAGACUGUUGAUUUCAGAGGAAAGUAGCAACCUGUGGCAGUUUGCUGGAGGCAACUGGGAGGAAUUUCCUGAAUGGUUCAAAUGAAGCUCGACAUUAUUAAUAAGCUGGAAUCCAGUCCAUGACCUUCCUCCCAGCGCUUUCAUGAAAUUAGCUUAAC
rnacentral:lncRNA from 1 species